UUUAAGCAUGCAUAGCUCAGACGAGGUAUGGAGCUUUUGUGUAAUCUCACGAAGGAUCGUUAUCAAUUGGUUAGGUUUCUGAUUCCAAGUUGUUUACUUGAAACAUUUGACAUGAGUAGAAUGAGAUAAGUUUUCGUAGUAAUGACAAACAAAGAUACUUUCACUAUUAAAGUGUAGUUAUUUUCAGCCCUUUUGUGCUUCUGCAUUUCCCGGAACUUCAGAAGUUAAGAGGACAAAAUCGCGAGCUUCCUUCAAAUAAAUAACUUGCAUACACUCAAUACUUGCUUCUAUCCAAGAUUUCUGAUGAAGUGUUUAUGAAGAAGACAUUUAGGCUACUAAAUCAUCCUAGGACAUUUAGAUAUUUAAGUUUUUUUUUAUCCUAAUUCAACAGUUCAGUUGUUUGUAAUUGGUAUGAACACAAAAUUUUGAAAUUGACUUGCUUAUAUACAUUGAAAUUAUUGAAAUUAUUGUAGGAAAAAAGCUGUCUUUGUUAAUCUUCUUCUCUUUGGGGGCUUGCAAGAUUUCUGAUGAAGUGUUUAUGAAGAAGACAUUUAGGCUACUAAAUCAUCCUAGGACAUUUAGAUAUUUAAGUUUUUUUUUAUCCUAAUUCAACAGUUCAGUUGUUUGUAAUUGGUAUGACACAAAAUUAUGAAAUUGACUUGCUUAUAUACAUGGAAAUUAUUGAAAAUAUUGUAGGAAAAAAGCUGUCUUUGUUAAUCUUCUUCUCUUUGGGGGCUUGAUUAAGCUAAAAUAAAAGGUUUCUUUCCAUUUGUCCAAAUCUCUACCUAUUAUCCGUGUUGGUGGGAGCUAGCAUAUAAAAUUAGUCGAGGUGCAUCCAAGUUGGUUUGUACAUCAUGGUUAUUAUAAAAAAAUUAAGUUUUACUCAAGUCACUUGCAAAUUCUGUAAACUUGAAUCUUAAUAGUUUUAAAAUAACAAACUCUAGUGACUAGCUAAACAAUAUCAAAUAAUGCAGACAAUUUUCGAAGUAUAAAAAUUGAAAGUGUUCCCUUUAUUUUCGAUAAAAAGGACAAGGUGAUACACUGAAGCUUUUGCUAUGCGCGAGAUUUGGAGAAGAGUCGAACCAGAAGGGUCAUUGUACAUAGUUUUGGAUGACAAGAAAAAAGAAAAAAACACUUUUUAAGCAUUAUAGACUGUAUUGACAGCUAAAAGUUCUUUUUUUUUUUCCCUUAAAGGCUGUGGGUCAACUUUUAAAGGGGAGAGCUUUAGCGCAGCGAUAAGAGUCAUCAGUAUAUUGAAUGUCACGAGUUUAAGGUGUAAAAAUAAUCUUGGAGAAAGAAUAUUUUGAAAUUGUGCAAAAAGUAGUCGAACAAAUAAAGUCAGGGAAAAUUUAUGAAGUUAUUUUGAUAAAUUUCUCUUUAGAGUUUCUAAAAACAUUCUGUAUAUGUUCAAAGUACUUAUAAAACAGACAUAUUUGGUUCCUUUUUUCCUAAAGUGGAGAUGGAGAUUAUAAAGGGAAUAUGAAAGAGUUAGUCAUAUCACAUGCUUCAACUGAGCUCAUUGCUUUCGACUCGAACUAUGUAUAUAUAUAUAUAUAAAAGAAUUUUAAAUGUAAACAUAUAAUAAAACGAUCAUUCAGAAUCUAUCGAUUUUAAAUCCUGAAUUCGAAUAUGAUAAGUGUUGUAUUAGUUUCCAAGAAUGUUUAUAGGCAAAAAGGAAACAAAUACAAGGGAAAAUAGAGAAGGAAGAAGACAUUAUUUGACUUUAUUGUAACAACACAAAAAUUAGUUACAAAUGUAAAGAUCCCCUCUUAAUAGAAAGAAUACAACAGAAGAAUGGUAAAAAGAAUUAAACCCCUUUUAACCAUUUCAUCUGUCUAUGGGCUACAAAAUUGCAAUGGAAUCUAUUUCUUCCUAACUCUACCACAACACAUCUAACACCUUUUGAAGAAACACAAGUGUAUGGUACUUUAUGAAAACAAGAAAAAAAGGGUUUUGAUGUCAAACUUAUUUGUGCCUUCUUUUGGAUUCUCCAUAAGCAACAACUCCCAUCACAGUCAUCGUGUAGCCCGCGAUUCCGAUGAAAGUUACUGGAUUUUGGAAAAUUAGUAUGGAGAUAACAACAGCCACUGCACCUUUUGCAUUGCCUAGGACCUGCACCAGUUCAUAGAGAGUUAAGUUGUUUCAAACAGGUGAAAAAUAUGUAUAUUUGCAGCUACUAUGAAAAUUUAGUACCAUUCUUGAAAAAUAUAGUAGGCGUUUGGACAAUAUUUGGUCUAUGUUUCUCAUACUCUCCGAAAAUGUUGCUGCACCCGUGACAGAUCCCCAAAAAUGCACUAGUUUUGGAGGAUCUGAUACACACUUUGUAGCAUUUUUGAAGAGUCCGAGCAAUAAAGUAUUUGGUUGAAGUUGAAAGGGUAUUUGGAAGUAUAUGUGUUUAAACACGUAUUUAAAAAAUUAACCUUUCUUGGCCGUGAUCUUUAGUGUUCAAGUCUAAGGACAUAUGGCAAGUUAGAGAACAAAAACAUUUGCUAAUCCAGGAGUGGUCUAUAGCUAAGUUUCUCGGACUCUUCACUUUUGGUGCCGCAUCCGUGUCGACACGACAUGAGUGCGGGUGUGGGAUCCGUGUCCAAUUUGGUCAACCAAUUUUGGGUACUUUGACCAAAAUCGAUGUAGAAAGUCUAAACAGUUUUAAUGAUUUCUAUAAUCAAUACAAAAGCUAAGGUAAAAUUGAAGAAAAUGGAAUGCCUUUUAUAUAGAAAUUUCUAUGUCACUCAUUUUCCUUUAAUCUCAUUCCAAGAUUCUCUUCAAGUUCUCCACAUAAUAUCUCAUAAUUUAGGUUUUAUAACUCUAUUUUUAGAUAUUUUAAUUAUAUUUAGGCGAAUUCCUGCACCUGUAUCCAUACAUGGAUCCAUAUCCCCGAAUCUUAAAAAUUAGAUCAUGAAGGAUCUGACCUCUAGUUUUCAUAGUAAUGAUAAAUGAAGAUACUUUCACUAUUAAAGUGUAGUUAUUUUCAGCCCUUUUGUGCUUCUGCAUUUCCCGGAACUUCAGAAGUUAAGAGGACAAAAUCGCGAGCUUCCUUCAAAUAAAUAACUUGCAUACACUCAAUACUUGCUUCUAUCCAAGAUUUCUGAUGAAGUGUUUAUGAAGAAGACAUUUAGGCUACUAAAUCAUCCUAGGACAUUUAGAUAUUUAAGUUUUUUUUUAUCCUAAUUCAACAGUUCAGUUGUUUGUAAUUGGUAUGAACACAAAAUUUUGAAAUUGACUUGCUUAUAUACAUUGAAAUUAUUGAAAUUAUUGUAGGAAAAAAGCUGUCUUUGUUAAUCUUCUUCUCUUUGG
rnacentral:lncRNA from 1 species